rnacentral:tRNA from 1 species
GGGUCGUUAGCUCAGUUGGUAGAGCAGUUGACUUUUAAUCAAUUGGUCGCAGGUUCGAAUCCUGCACGACNCCC